AUAUAUAUAUAUAUAUAUGUGUGUGUGUGUGUGUGUGUGUGUGUGUGUGUGUGUGUGUGUGUGUUUAAAACGUUCGUAAAACAUUUUUCACGACGUACUUCUGCUGCAGCAUUUCGAUAGCAGGAGAGGGAAGAGUAAGUAUGCUUACCGUCGAGGGGACUCGUGGGUAGUUUGGUGAUGUCCCCUCUCUGGAGAGCAUGAUAUCAGCUUUGCGCAGUGGCAGUAUCGUAGCCUAUGAGGUUUAUCCGAGGCGCGAUUAUUGCUAAUUGAAAACUUUACCCAAUACCCCGCCGUGACGACUUGAAAUAUAGUCAGCGCUGGGAAUUUUUGACAGUCUUUACAGAGAUUGAUCUUUUAGUUAAAGAAAGAAAUGAGCAAAAAACGAAUACUAAUUUAAAAUGUAUAUGUGUUUGUUUUUCCCCCUUUAGGUUAUUUUGCUAGAAAAAGACCCCAUAGCAAAAGCCUUAGCUGACAAACUCUCAAAGAGAAUGAGCUGUCGGAUCUUGCAGGAUGUGGACGACAAACUGAAGAAGGUGCAGGAGCUUAGGAAGAAAAAGGGACGUGGAGUGGAAGAGGUGGCAUAUUUAGGAAACGAUGAGCCGGAUGUAAAGUGCCUGGAACUAGCAGGGUUGAGCGCUGUACCUAUGGAUGCCCCUACGGUCGCGCACAACCGUUUGCCGAACACAUCCUACUGCUGAAAAAGUAAGGCCAAGUCUCAAAUGGAGCAGGAUAGAAUUUGCAGAAACACAUUUUAGGAGAGAUAGAGGUGUUCAGUUGGCCAGAUAAUGAAAAUCAAUGAAGUUUUUGUGUGUUUGUGUUGUGGGUAUAAUUUUCACGUUUAAUUUGAGAAAAUUAUGUGAUAUGUAGUAAUGAUGAAGGAAAUCAUGUGAUUGAUUAUAUAAAUACUACCAUGUAAGAUUGUUUUUCCAUAAUCACAAAAUUAAAUUAUUGAAAUCAAGGUUGCUUAUUCAGGGUUCCCACACAUCCUGGAAAAACUGGAAAAUUAAUGACCAAUUAUCCAAUUAUCCACACAUGAGAAUGAUCACCGACACCAAUCACAGUCACCCUGACGCAGUAUAGGCCUACGUUAAGCAAAACAGAAAUCGUGAAUAUAGCUGUCCGAGGAAGGCUGCAAAAUCCUAUAAGGCAAGCCUUCUUUCACUAGGCCUAUUGUAAUGUUGCAAAAUAGAGUAAAAACUUUUACAUUUAUGUAACUAAUAGCUAUAAAUCUAUAUAGAUUGAUUAUAGUCUUUAAUUGUUUUUAAUUAUGCCGCCGUCAGAAUGAGAGCCCAAACAGCUGUUGAAAACAUCACAAUAAUCUACACAACUGAGAAGCCUCAAACAACUCCAGUAUCAGUGUAUUGUGAAGUGAAAAGUACGGAAGUUCUAAGCGGCCAUGCAUUAUAAUUUUUUUUCUUUUGUUUUCUCGUUAUAACGACUUAAUUUUCUCGUUAUCUCGACAUAACGAAGGUCGUUUUCUCGUUAUAACGACUUAAUUUUCUCGUUAUCUCGACAUAACGAAGUUCGUUUUCUCGUUAUAACGACUUAAUUUUCUCUAAGAAUUUACAAAACUGCGCCAGCAGGUGGCACUAUAGACCUGAAUAUAACUGAUGGGGUGUUGUAUACUAUCCACUUUACUGUACGCGGACCUUCCUCGUGAUCGCUAUAAUUUGUGCAGUCUUGUUUAUUACUGACAUUUAAUUAAUUCAUAAAUGUUAAAUGCUUGAAUCAAUAUGAAUAUUUUGUGUAUUAAGUUCCUGCUAGAUGCAUGAGUUUCACCAACGCAUUCUGUUUCAUCAAUAACUGCUUAUCAAAACCAAGGUUGACAUCACUGUAUUCUGUUUGCACCAAUAUAUAUUAUAUUUGUGCUUCUUUUAGGCUCAUGAUUAAUUUAAAUGUAAUUUUAAUUUAAUGAUUAGGUAGUUAAUAAGCGGAGAUGUUCUGUUUAUCUACAGUAGGACGGGAUUUAACGAUGUAGGCUGAUGUGCUUCUUUUCCUUAUUACUAAUCUUUAUUGUUAACCAUAUUGAUGAGAAAUGUGAUGUAUAUGUAAAAUCCAUAGGCUAAUUUAAUUCAGUUUUGUUCUGUAAUGUUGUAAUGGUUUUUUUCUACACACACACAUACAUUACACGUACACAUGAACGCUCUUUUCAAACAGAAGCUUGUAACACACAUGAUAUCUGCCACAUAAUGACUACUACAAAUUACAAAUUAUAUAUAAUUUAUUUCAUAUAAAGGGAAAAUUAAAAGUGAGUUUAAUCCAAGCAGCUCUAAUGGCGCGGUGUUGCCAUUUAAACAUGUUAAUUACAAAAACAAAACGUUCGUUGUACUGUCUCUGGAAAAAAUCAACAGUGAUUGAUCAGCCUUUAUUUAUACAGUAUUGUAGACGUUAUUAUUACCUAGGCGAAGCAAAAUUUGCUGAAAUAUAGGCUACAGUAAGAGCGCCUGCAUGGCUGUCCAUCAGAUGCCUGUCAAAGUUGAGUUCGUUACUAUAGCAACAGUAAAACUUUCAUGUCGUUAUAACGAGAAAACAAACUUUCGUUAUGUCGAGAUAACGAGAAAAUUAAGUCGUUAUAACGAGAAAACAAAAAGGAAAAAAAUUAUAAUGGAUGGCCGCUUAGAACUUCCGUAAUAUUUAUUUCAUAUAAAGGGAAAAUUAAAAGUGAGUUUAAUCCAAGCAGCUCUAAUGGCGCGGUGUUGCCAUUUAAACAUGUUAAUUACAAAAACAAAACGUUCGUUGUACUGUCUCUGGAAAAAAUCAACAGUGAUUGAUCAGCCUUUAUUUAUACAGUAUUGUAGACGUUAUUAUUACCUAGGCGAAGCAAAAUUUGCUGAAAUAUAGGCUACAGUAAGAGCGCCUGCAUGGCUGUCCAUCAGAUGCCUGUCAAAGUUGAGUUCGUUACUAUAGCAACAGUAAAACGAAAAAAAUUAAGUCGUUAUAACCAUAGACAUAUAAAUACCUAUUUAUAUGUCUAUGGUUAUAACGAGAAAACGAACUUCGUUAUGUCGAGAUAACGAGAAAAUUAAGUCGUUAUAACGAGAAAACAAAAAGGAAAAAAAUUAUAAUGGAUGGCCGCUUAGAACUUCCGUAGAAAAGCCAUAAUAAUGCCUCCUGAAAAAGUCCACCCCUGUUGUCCUCUCACAUCAGAAUCCACCGACAUGUUUAUUUGGAAGGUUUCUGGACUGUUUUCGCUUGUAAACUGUAUAUCAGAUAGAUACAAGACUCGUUUAAAGUCAAGUCUUAGUGCUGAAUUUGUUUUUAUGAACACCUGAGAGUGAGUAAAUUUUAAGCAAAUUUUCUCUUUUGGGUGAACUGCUUUAUAGCAAACACUAAAAUAUACACUAGAGGGCAGCCUUGUACAAACUAAUUUCUACAUUACACACCUCAACAGAAUAUUAUAUUGAGCUUCUAAAAUUAUACAAUGUCAACACACAUUACGUCCUUGUUGUGUCAGUCUUAAGUCUACUAAACAAAUGAUAGUUGCUCAAAUAUUAUUUUUGCAUUUAAAAAUGCUCUUCCAAAACUUUAUUUUUAAAACAAACUUUGAGUUAGUUACCUGCACUAACUGAUUAAUGGGAAGUCAAAUAUCAAAAAUUAAUUAUAAUAGAGAUUAACACCUUGGAAGGGAGAGCUGGUUAUAGUCUUAAUGGGUCGCGUUGCAGUCAUUAUUUCAUAUUCAUCCCGUUGUCUGACAACAGAAACAGUCAAAUAUAUCAAUGAAAACAGUUUUGAGAAUUUAGCUGCAUCAAAAUACAGUAUGAGGCACAGAGAGGCAAACAAAUGUAAUAAUGAAUAAUAAAUGUACAUUUUGCAUGUUCAGAAGAAGUUGCUAAUGCAAACAGGUUUGUGUAAGUAAAUUGCUCAGUGCAAAGAAAGAGAAGUAAUAGGAACCUAGUAUUUCUAUUGGGUUUUUUUUUUUUUCGUGUGUCUAAUAGACAUGAUCAAGUUCUUUGAAAAACAUCUAUGACCUAUGAAACAUGUCUACUCUUCAUGCUCUGUUAACUAUGGUUUCACUAAUAAUAAACAUAUAUUACAUAAAGCAUCCAUAUUUGUCCAUGCCCAUGUUGAUUAUAUUAAAAACUUGAAGGCCCGGUUUCACAAACUGGGUUUAGCUUAAGCCAGGAAUAGUUAAAUUAAGAUAUUUAAGCAACUUUUACAAAAAUGCCUUAACAAAAUGUUACAGGUGUGCAUCUUGACACAGAACAAUGAUUUUUAAGAUAUGUCAGAGCAAGAUAUUUUCAGUUGAGACAGCUCAAACAUGCAUUUUAGUCUGGGACUAGUUUAAGCCUUGUGAAACCAACAAUGGGGAAAAUAUUAUAAGGUACAUUAAGAACAGAUAAA
rnacentral:lncRNA from 1 species